GCAGACAUGAGCAUCUCCGAGGCCAAGAAUGGCAGGUUUGGACAAGGUAUAUAUGCAUGUGAUGCUAGACCUCCUAUUGUGGCUGCUGAACACAUCAUCAUCCCUAAAAAGGGCAGCCAAUGUUCCAUUUUAAGGCAUAUUGUACAAUCACAGCUCAAAGCCAUGACAUGAGGAAAACUAACAAAAUAAUUCAAAAAAAAAGAACAAAUUCAGACAGAGUUGGUCAACGGAAUCUCGGAGGAGCCACUGGUGGUGGAGGGGCGCCUGGAGAUCUGGUGGUUUACGGCGGCGGGGGCCGGGGGGCUGGCUGCGCAGCAACAACUCUUGAUGAGGGUGUACAAAAAGGUGAGGAGCCAGAAGAUCCAGGGGGCGCCGAUGAGGAAGAGGGCGGCAGACGGGUGCCACGGCUUCGAGAGGCUCGGUACGAACACGUAGAUCACGAGGAUGACGCCGCCGGUGGUCACGCACAGGAAGAACACGGCGAAGACCAAAGGCACCCUCACGUCUCCUUCCUUAUCAUUCUCCAUUGACGCCCUCUCACACAAAUAAAAUUAAAAAACUCUCUCUCUCUCUCUGUAUAUAUAUCUCUUUCUAUGUAUGUAUGUAUAUGUGUGUGUGUUUUUCUAUGUUUUUUUUAUUUCUAUAUGCGUCGUUUGUCGACGAUCAUCUGACCAUGCAGGCUUAUGUAUAUAAUUAAGGAACUCGCAAUCAGAUAUGUGUUUGUUACCUCAUCUUCUGAUCUCUCUCUGUCAACAAUGGUGAGUUUCCUUUUUGUGUUUGUCUGAAUUGGGUUGCCGGUUUCAGGCAACCAGGGAAAGAUGAGAAGAUGAGCGCACCGAUUCAAAAGAAUAAAGGCCUCCGAAACCGCAGUUGGGAAAAAGGUUCCGCAGUAAAUUCUUGAACGAAGUUGCAGCGCUUUCAAUUAGAAUCCGGCCAUCGGAAUCGGAAUUUCA